AUUGAACGCUGGCGGCAUGCCUUACACAUGCAAGUCGAACGGCAGCACGGGAGCAAUCCUGGUGGCGAGUGGCGAACGGGUGAGUAAUAUAUCGGAACGUGCCCAGUCGUGGGGGAUAACGUAGCGAAAGCUACGCUAAUACCGCAUACGAUCUACGGAUGAAAGCGGGGGAUCGCAAGACCUCGCGCGAUUGGAGCGGCCGAUAUCAGAUUAGGUAGUUGGUGAGGUAAAGGCUCACCAAGCCGACGAUCUGUAGCUGGUCUGAGAGGACGACCAGCCACACUGGGACUGAGACACGGCCCAGGCUCCUACGGGAGGCAGCAGUGGGGAAUUUUGGACAAUGGGCGCAAGCCUGAUCCAGCAAUGCCGCGUGCAGGAUGAAGGCCUUCGGGUUGUAAACUGCUUUGUACGGAACGAAACGGUGAGCUCUAAUACAGUUUGCUAAUGACGGUACCGUAAGAAUAAGCACCGGCUAACUACGUG
rnacentral:rRNA from 1 species